GGCUCGGUUGCGUAGCGGGUGCGCGCGCUUGGUUGAAGCCCAGGAGGAGCCGGUUCGAGUCCGGCCCGAGUCUCCA
rnacentral:tRNA from 2 species